rnacentral:rRNA from 1 species
CCUACGGGAGGCAGCAGUGGGGGAUAUUGCACAAUGGGGGGAACCCUGAUGCAGCGACGCCGCGUGGGUGAAGGAGUGCUUCGGCAUGUAAAGCCCUAUCGGCAGGGAAGAAGCAAGACGGUACCUGACUAAGAAGCCCCGGCUAACUACGUGCCAGCAGCCGCGGUAAUACGUAGGGGGCGAGCGUGAUCCGGAUGAACGGGGUGUAAGGGGAGCGUAGACGGCCAUGCAAGCCAGGGGUGAAAGCCCGGGGCUCAACCCCGGGACUGCCCUUGGGACUGUGAGGCUAGAGGGCGGUAGGGGCAGGCAGAAUUCCUGGUGUAGCGGUGAAAUGCGUAGAUAUCAGGAGGAACACCGGUGGCGAAGGCGGCCUGCUGGACCGCGACUGACGUUGAGGCUCGAAAGCGUGGGGAGCGAACAGGAUUAGAUACCCUUGUAGUC